rnacentral:lncRNA from 1 species
GUUAGAAGUGUCUCUUCUACAAAUGAGGACAUAGGCACAAGGGCAUCCAUUGAACUACUUAACAAUAUACAUACUGAUCCAUUGUGGAAUUAUUAAGGAAAAUACAUUGAAAUAGGUGGCAUUCUUGUCAAAGAUAUAUAUGGACGGCUAGAUGGAUAGAUAGGUGAAAAUCAUGUUCCAUGGAAGAAGAGUUAGCUCAGCCUGCAACUCAAACAAGUACAGAUAUUCUUCCAUGGAAUGACCAUCAUACUUGGAUUGUAAUAAAAAUGCUUUAGGCAAACUUCUCAUUUCAUCCUUGGCAUAUUAAAAAUAUGACACAACUGUCACAAUAGGUUUCAAGAUGGAUCAUUUUU